UGGGCUUGAACCGCAGAUGAUCGUUAUAGAGAUAUAAUUUUUUGAGCAAUCAAACAUCUGUAG
rnacentral:rRNA from 1 species